AGGGUUAUUUCUCCCCAGUAGAGACUGUAACCAAGCAGGUGCAAUUUCAGCACAAUCUUUUUAUUAUUGUUUUUGAGACAUAGUCUUGCUCUGUCACCCAGGCUAAAGUGCAGUGGUGCAAUCUUGGCUCACUGCAGCCUCUGUCCUCUGGGUUCCAGUGAUUCUCCUGCCUCAGCCUUCUGGGUAGCUGGGAUUACAGGCACACACCACCAUGCCUGGCUAAUUUAUUUAUUUAUUUAUUUAUUUUAGUAGAGACUGGGUUUCGCCAUGUUGGCCAGGCUGAUCUGGAACUCCUGACCUCAGGUGAUCCACCUGCCUUGGUCUCCCAAAGUGCUGGGAUUACAGGCAUUAGCCACCGUGCCAGGCCUCAGCACAGUCUUGAAGAAGAUAGGCCUUGGCUGGACAGGUAAGCUCUAAGCAAUUGUAAAUAACUAUCUUGUAAAGAUGUAUAAUUUUUAUCUUGUAUUUAUUUGCCAUAAAUAUUUAUUAAGUUGUAAUUUUCACAACAUUCCAUUUUUAUUCUGAUAUCUACAACUAUAUCUACAUAACACCAAUUCCAGUAUUUUAAUAAACAGAAGAAAUGUAUAUAUAGCCUUGCAAAAAAUAUAAGCCUGAUACAUUCAUAUCUGUAUAAGAUUUGUAGAAUUUCCUAAAGUUCAAGGAAGUACACACACACACACACACACACACACACACCAUUAAAUUCAAAUCAAAUAGAUUUAUAUUUUGUCAAAUUGAAUGCUAUAUAAAAUUUAUAACCAGAUAACACAAAAUAUAAAUCGAAUCAUGAAUACACUGAUGAUAAUAUCUACCACAACUUACGAAUAUGAUUUCCAGUUAAAAAGAGAAAAAUAAUUGCUUUGCUGGAUUUUCAGUGUGUGCUAAUCACUAUCACCAUUACAAAAGAUCAAUUUAAUUACAGAUUAUCCAAAGAUGUAUCACACAUCUAAAUAUUAAACUUUACACUGCAAUAAAAUAUUUAAAUCUGCAAGAAGACACUAGAACAUAUGGUCAAUAAUACCAUGAGCUGCCACAGGUUUUUAAUAGAUAAUGCAAAUGACAAUCAACUAUAUGCCACCACAAGAGAAAAACUGGUACUGGUGAAUCUCAUACGUAUCAAGGAAGAAAAAAAUGCAGAAUUCAAUAUGCAAAAAAGAUUGUUUAUACCAGGUAUAUACAUCAUAAUCAUGGUUGUCUGAUACAUUAAGUGUUCUGUAUUAGAGUUUGCAAAAUAUACAUAAUUCUAUUGCUAAUGAGGAAUUAGCCAAAGCCCAACUAUUCAAUCGCCCAUAAAGAAAAAUUUUUUAGAAAAUUGUGUAUCUUUUAAAAAAGUUGGAAGUGAAACUGUUGACCACUUCGGAGCUUUAGAAGUUCCUUUUAAUGGUAGUUAGAUGGCAAGAGCUGGCAUUUUGGUUACAUCAGCCAAUUCAAAACUCACAGAGAGAAGUUACCAGGUAUCAAAUUUUAAGGCAGAUUUUAUUCAUUAAAAGCAUCUUAAGAAGCAGCAGAAAUUGCAGAAAUGAAGCAAUUCAGCAUUUCUACUAAUAAUAAUUUGUAUUAAGCAUGUCGUUAGAUUCUGUGUUGGCCAUUUGACAUCUGCGAUUCUUAACUGCUCCAUAAACCUGCUGAAUCACAGGGCCACAGGAGCAAUCACUGUUGUUUACACGCUUUUUGUCAGGCAGCUCUCAUGAGCCUGCAAAUGUUGUUAUUCCCAACCACUGACACCAGCAUUCAUUAUUUUACUUUGUAUUCAAUAGGAAAAAGCCCCACGUUUUUGCUUCCAAUCAUCACGUUCAUAAAGCAAUAGUCCCACCUCCCUGAUAACUCUGCUUUCUCACCCUUGCAUAAGACCGCCUUUGUGAGGCCCCCAGGGCCUGCCUUGCCUCUUGUUUCUGGUGGGAGUGUAUUAAACACCUUUUAAUGGCAUUCACCUUUCUUUUGUAAAUUAAAAUCCUAGCAAAAUUCGAGAAAUCAUGUUUCUGUGCUUUGUUACCAGAAAUAAUAUGGGGUUGGGCCAGGCAUGGUGGGUCGCACCUGUAAUCCCAGCACUUUGGGACGCCGGGAGUUUGAGACCAGCCUGGCCAACACAGCAAAACUCGAUCUCUACUAAAAACAUAAAAAUUAGCCAGGUGUGCUGGUGGGCACCUGUAAUCCCAGCUACUUGGGAGGCUGAGGUAGGAGACUCACUUGAACCCAGGAGGUGGAGGUUACAGUGAGCCAAGAUCGCACCACUGCACUCCAGCCUAGGCCACAGAGCAACACUGUCUCAAAAAAAAAAAAAAAGUAAUCGACAUUUUGAUAAAAAAACAAAAACUUAUUUUGUAGGCUGCUCUAGGCAGCAUAGACAUUUUCUAUUCAUUCUUCAAAUCCAUGAGCAUAGAAAGCUUUUUUAUUUGAAUUGUCUCUGAUUACUUUCAGUAAUGUUUUCUAGUUCUUGUAGAGAUAUUUUACCUCCCUGGUUUGAUGUAUUUCUAAGUAUAUUAUUUUUUGUUUAUGGCUAUUGUAAAGAAAACUGUUCUUGAUUUUGUUCUCAGCUUGAAUGUUAUUGGUGUAAGGCAAUGCUAUUCAUUUUUGUAUAUCAAUUUUGUAUCCUGAGACUUUGCUGAAGUCAUUUUUAACCUUAGGAGUCUUUUGGUAAAAUCCUUAAAGUUUUCUAGGUAGAGAAUUAUAUCAUGAGUGAAGGUAAUUUCACUUCUUCUUUUCCUAUUUGGAUGCCAUUUAUUUUUUCAUUUUGUUAGAUUUAUCCAGCACUUCCAGAACUAUGUUAAAUAGAAUUGUUUAGAUAGUCUUAUUUUUUUUCUAAUGAGAAAUGCAUGCCCCUUUUGUCUGUUCAGUAUGUUAGCUGAGGAUUUGUCAUAGAUGGCUCUUAUUAUUGUGAGGUAUGUUUCAUCAUUGCUUAGAGAAUAUUUUCAUAAAUGAAUACUGGAUUUUCUUGAAUGCUUUUUCUGCAUCUAUUGUGUUAAUCAUAUAAAUUUUUGCUUUUAAUUGUAUGGUGAAACACACUUAUUGACUUGUAUAUGAUGAAACAUCCUUGCACAUGUGAUAUAAAGUUCACAAGUGUGGCAAAAUAACUUUUUGAUUUGCCUGUGAACUCAGCUUGCUAUUAUUUCAUGGAGGAUUUUUGUUUCAAUGUUCACCCAAAAUAUUGGCCUAUAGUUUUGUUGUUGUUGUCUUCACUAGACUUCGGUAUCAAGAUGACACAGGUUUUUAUUUUAUUAAUUAAUUUAUUUUGAGAUGGAGUUUCACUCAUUGCCUAGGCUGGAGUGCAAUGGCGCGAUCUCGGCUCACUGCAACCUCCACCUCCCGGGUUCAAGCGAUUUUCCUGCCUCAGCCUCCCGAGUAGCUGGGAUUACAGACAUAUGCCACCACGCCUGGCUAAUUUUGUAUUUUAGCAGAGAUGGGGUUUCACCACGUUGGGCAGGCUGGUCUCAAACUCCCGACCUCAGGUGACCCGCCCACCUCGGCCUUCCAAAGUGCUGGGAUUACAGGCGUGAGCCACCUCGUGCAGCGAUACAGAUUUUAUAUAAUGAGUUAGGGUGGAACUCCACCUGGAUUUUUUGGAAUACAUUCAGUAAUACAUUCAGUAGAAGUAAUACCAGCUCAUCUCUGUAUAUGUGUUAAAAUUCGGCUGUGAUUUUAUAUAAUCCAGGGCUCCUUAUAGUUGGUAGGUUUUUUAAAUUAUUAAUUCAAUUUCAUUAUAUAUUUUAUACAUUUUUGCCCUGUUCAAGAGUUCUGUUCCUUCCUGGUUUAAUCCUGGAAAGUUGUAUGUUUCCAGGAGUUUAUUUAUUUUCUCCAAAUUUUCUAUUUUGCAGGCAUAGAGAUGUUCAUAGUAGUCUCUGACUUUUUUUGUAUGUAUGCAGAAUUAGUUGUGAUUUCACAUCUCUAAAACUUAAAUAUAUGCAGAGUGCAAAGAGAAAAAAAUGGAUGCACAAUAGAAGUUUGACAGAAUUUGACAUUCCCUUAUGAUAAAUCGCUGAAAAAAUUAGGUAUAGAACAAAUGCACUUCAGCCAAUAAAUGCCAUAUAUAACCAAAAAAACUGCUAACAACAUACUAAACAGGGAUAUGUUGUAAGCUUUUACUCUAAGAGCUAGAACAAGGCAAGGAUGCCCACUCUAGUCAGACUUACUAAACAUGGUACUAAAUAUCCAAGACAAAGAAAUUAGAGAAAAAAAUCAAAGGCAUCCAAAUUGAGGAAAAGGAAUUAUUCCUGUAUAAUUUUCUUUUAUCCCUAUACAUAAUCUGAAGUAUAAAAAAGCCUAAGACCUUAGUAAAUCUUAAAAAUUAUAAACAGGCAAGGUGCAGUGACUCCUGCCUGUAAUUCCAGCACUUUGGGAGGCCGAGGUGGGCGGAUCACAAGGUCAGGAGUUCAAGACCAGUCUGGCCAACGUAGGGAAACCCCAUCUCUAUAGAAAUAAAAAAAUUAGCUGGGUGUAGUAGGAGGCGCCUGUAGUUUCAGCUACUUAGGAAGCUGAGGCAGGAGAACCGCUUCAGCCAGGGAGGCAGAGGUUGCAGUGAGCCAAGAUCGUGCCACUGCACUCGAGCCUGCGUGACAGACCGAGACUCCAUCUCAAAAUAAAUAAAUAAAUAAACAAAAUUUAUUAAACUUUCAAAAUACAAAAGCACCAUCAAAAAGUCACAGCAUUUCUCUACAUUAAUAACUAUCCCAAAAUGAAAUUCAAAAACAAUUACAUCUACAAUAACUAUAGUUUGAAAUAAAUUUAACCAAAAAGUUGAAACGCCUUACAUUCUAAAUAGAAAUUAAUACAUAAAUGGACUAUUCAUGAACUGACAUUAAUAUUUGUAUUACACAAAAUGACCUACAGGUAUAAUGCAACCUCUAUCGAAAUACGUGAUAUACUUCAUAGAAAAGUUUUAAAAGUAUAUCUAAAAUUCAUAUGGUAUCACAAAAGACCCUGAAUAGCCAAAGCAAUCAAGACAAAAGAAGUGACUAACUUUGAAAUACACUACAUAGCUAUGGUAACCAACAGUAUGGUACUUGAAUAAAAACAGAGACAUAGGUCAAUGGAGCAGAAGAAAAAAACAGCAGAAAUAUAUCCAUGUAUUUACAGUUGAUUUUAAAUACAGGUGACUUUAAAGGGAAAGAACAGAAUCUUCAAUUAAGAAAACUUUAUAUCCACAUGCAGAGAUAAAAAUUGAGACCCUCAUCUCACACCAUAUGUAAAAAUAAACUCGAAAUAAAUUAGUACUUAAAUGUAAGGCCUGACACUCUGAAACUACUACUGCCAAAAUAUAGAGCAAAAGCCCUAUAACAUUGUUCUGGGCAGCAAAUUUUUUUUUUUUUUUGAGACAGAGUUUCAUUCUGUUGCCAAGGCUGGAGUGCAGUGGCAUGACCUUGGCUCACUACAACCUCCGCCUCUGGGUUUAAGCCGUUCCCCUGCCUCAGCCUCCUGAGUAGCUGAGAUUAUAGACACGUGCAACCACGCCCGGCUAAUAUUUGUAUUUUUAGUAGAGACAGGAUUUCACCAUGUUGGUCAGGCUGGUCUCGAACUUCUGACCUCGUGAUCCACCUGCCUCGGCCUCCCAAAGUGCUGGGAUUACAGGUGUGAGCCACUGCGCCUGGCCGCAAGUUUUUUGAUUUAACCUAAACAUCCCAGGACACAAAAGGAAAAAUAAGUCAGAUCACUUCAAAUUAAAAAGCUGCUGGACAAAAUCUGAUACAAUCAACAGAAUGUGACAACUAGAACAUGGGAGAAAAAAUUUGCAAAUUAUACAUGUGACAAGAGGUUAAUAUCAAAAGUGUAUUUAAAAUGACAACAAUAAAAAAUUAUUAAAAAUAAUAGGCCGGACGCGGUGGCUCAUGCCUGUAAUCUCAGCACUUUGGGAGGCUGAGGUGGGCACCAGAGGUCAGAAGUUCGAGACCAGCCUGACCAAUAUAGAAAAACCCCGUCUCUACUAAAAAUACAAAAUUAGCUGGGCGCAGUGGCAUUUGCCUGUAAUCCCAGCUACUUGAGAGGCUGAGGCAGGACAAUCACUUGAUCCGGGAGGCAAGGGUUGCAGUGAGCCGAGAUUGUGCCAUUGCACUCCAGCCUGGGCAACAAGAACAAAACUCCAUCUCAAAAAGAAAAAAAAAAAAAAGGAAAUAGCUGAAAUAAAUAUUUUUCAAGAAAAGUCAUACAUAUGUCCAACGGAUAUAUUUUUAAAUGCUCAAUGUUGACUAUUAUCACAAAAAGACAAGCCAAAAAAAAAAUCCCUAUAUCAACUCAUUCCUGUUAGAAUAACUCUUAUUAAAAGAAAAAGAAAAAAGUGUUGGUAAAGAUGUGAAGAAAACGGAAUCCUUGCACACUGUUGGUGUGAACGUAAAUGAGGAUAGCCAUUACGAAAAACAAAAUACAGAUUUAUCAAAAAAACUACCAGGUAAUACAGCAAUCGCACUACUGGGUAUAUAUCCAAAACAAAAUAAGAAUAAAGAAACAUUUGCACUUCUGUUUGCAGCACUUGUUUCACAAUAGCCAAAAUACAGAAUAAACAGUUCAACAUCUAAUGAGUAAAUAAAGACAAUGUGGUUGAUAUACAUAAUGGAAUACUAUUUAUUAUUUAAAUGAGAAAAAUGCCUUAUUUUCCCUCUUGAGACCGAGUCUCACUCUGUUGCCCAGGAUGGAGUGCAGUGGCAUGAUCUCAGUUCACUGCAACCUCUGCAUCUGUGGUUCAAGGGAUUCUCAUGCCUCAGCCUCUGGAGUAGCUGAGAUUACAGGCCUGCACCACCACACCCAGCUGAGGUGUUUUUUGUUUUUGUUUUGUUGUUUUUGUAUUUUUAGUAGAGAUGGGGUUUUUCCACGUUGUCCAGGCUGGUCUCAAACUCCUGGGCUCAAGCAAUCCACUGGCCUUGGCCUCCCAGAGCUGGGAUUACAGGUGUGAGCCACCACUCCUGGCCUUAAAAAAAAAACAAAAACUAUUAUUCUCAAUCACAUGGAUGAAGUUGGAGGACAUUGUAUUAGUUGGGAUAAGCAAGGCACAGAAAGAUUAGUGUCUCAUAAUUUCACUUACACAUGGAUUCCAAAAAACUUAAUCCCAUUGAUGUAGAGAGUAAAAUGGUGACCAUCAGAUGCAAGUUAUUUAUAAGAAAUGGAAGGCUGGAAACAUGUUUGUGAAAUAAUACAUAAUUAUAGUCAAAUGGAAGAAAUAAGUUCAAGAGAUUUAUUGCACAACAUGGUGACUAUAGUUCAUAAUAAUGUAUUUGGAUUUUUGAAAAAUGAUGACAGUGUCAUGUGGUCUCAAAACAAAAAUGUUCACCAUAUGAGGUAAAGUUUUUUUUUUUUUUGAUAGUCACUCUGUCCCCCAGUCUGGAGUGCAGUGGUGCAAUCUCGGCUCCCUGCAACAACCACCUCCCAGAUUUGAGCCAUUUUCCUGCCUUAGCCUCCAGGGUAGCUGGAUUACAGGCAUGUGUCACCACACGCUGCUUAUUUUGUAUUUUUAGUAGAGACAGGGUUUCCCCAUGGUCGCCAGGCUGGUCCCGAACUCCUGACCUCAUGUGAUCUGCCUGCCUCGGCCUCCCAAAUUGCUGGGAUUACAAGCAUGAGCCAUCAUGUCUGACCAAUGUGAGAUAAAUUAUUAAUUACCUAGAAAUAAUAAUUUAACUAUAUAUAUACUUCAAAAUAUUACGUUCUACAGAAAAAGUACAGAUUCUACCUGUCACAUUAAAAUAUUUAUAAAACAUAGAAGAAUAACAAUGUGUCAAAUACUGUGUCUUUGUGAUAAUCUUGGUUAAAUAGUAUCAAAAAUAUAUAGUUUUGGGGCUAUUAUUGUCAUUUAAUUUUUUAAUCAUAACCAUAGAAACUUCUGAUAUUUAACAGCAUGGUUUGGACCCAGCACAUUGCAUGGGAGGAGCCAACGUACUUUAGGAUUUUUACUUUAAGCUUGGGGCACCUGGAGUUUCUGGUGCUGAUGGUAACGGUAUGAAAGACACUCAAAGAGCAGGUGUUGCUUAUGGUCCCAUGACUGGCCACUCUGUGAACACAGUAAACUAGUUUGCAUGCAAAGUAACAGAAAUGUUUUAAUCCAAACGCUGUCAUGAUCUCCAAAUGUUUUUCAGAGAAAAUGACCCAAGAGUUGGCUACAGUUUGGUGACUAAAAAUAAAAACUGUAGACUAAACCUCUCCCACUAAAAAAUAUAUAAAAAAUGAGUGAAAAAUUUCUCCAAAUUGUAAAAUCAAUAUAGAAAAGACAUUAUUUUUCAAAAUUUUAAAUCCACUGAAGUCAUUUCAUUAUUUUGUAACCUUUAACACUCACACUUAAAAAUAAAAGAUUCUGCAUGGAAAUAUAAGUUGUGCUGUAAGUAUAUCAUAGAAAAUUAACUUUAAAAUUGUUUACUUACCAUUAACUCUCUUAAAAAUUUAAUUUCUGUAUUUUCAAGCAAGUUUUAUAUUUGCCACACUUUGUAUAAGAAUCUAGUAAGAUUUUUCUUUUAAAAACAAAGCUGACUAAUUUAAUUAUCUUACCUGUGGACAGUAUUGCACCUUUUAUCUUUUUUUUUUUUUUUUAGACAGAAUUUCGCUCUUGUUGCCCAGGCUGAAGUGCAGUGGCCCAGUCUCGGCUCACCGCAACCUCUACCUCCCAGGUUCAAGCGAUUCUGCUCCCUCGGCCUUCCGAGUAGCUGGGAUUACAGGCGUGCGUCACCACGCGUGGCUAAAUUUGUAUUUUUAGUAGACACAGGGUUUCACCAUGUUGGUCAGGCUGGUCUCAAACUCCUGACCUCAAGUGAUCCACCCUCCUUGGCCUAUCUCAGUGCUGGGAUUACAGGCGUGAGCCACACCUGGCUGCCUUUUAACUGUUCUGAUAAGCAAACUCUACAGUUAAAACCAAUUUUUGUGUGCACUAAAAAUACCAACUUCCUCAUCAAAAUCUACAAAGUACCAUGUGAAAUGAAAUGGCAUGAAGACAACAGUAAGAAAACUGUAGCUAUAACUCAGAAAAAGAAUAGCUGUGAUGCAUACAUAGUUGGAAAAUGCAUAAGACAAAUCUGAAGAGAAGUAGAAAAUAAAAGAAUUUCUCUUUUUUUUCAGAUGGAGUUUCCCUCUUGUCGCCCAGACUGGAGUGCAAUGGUGCAAUCUCGCCACACUGCAACCUCCACCUGUCGUGUUCAAGCGAUUCUCCUGCCUCAGUCUCCCGAGUAGCUGGGAUUACAGGCAUGCGCCACCACACCGGGCUAAUUUUGUAUUUUUUAGUAGAGAUGGAGUUUCUCCAUGUUGGUCACCUGGUCUCAAACUCCCGACCUCAAGUGAUUCGCCCACCUUGGCCUCCCAAAGUGCUGGGAUUACAGGCGUGAGCCACCACGCCCAGCUCUUUUUUUUUUUUUUUUUUUUUUAUAUGGAGUCUCGCUCUGUCGCCCAGGCUGUAGUGCAACGGCACAAUCUUGGCUUACUCCAAUCUUCACCUCCGGGUUCAAGCAAUUCUCCUGACUCAGCCUCCCGAGUGGGAUUACAGGCACCCACCACCAUGCCUGGCUAUUUUUGUAGUUUUAGUAGAGACUGGGUUUCACCAUAUUCAUCAGGCUGGUCUCAAACUCCUGACCUCAGGUGAUUCAUCUGCCUCUGCCAGAAUUUCUCUUUAAAUUCAACAAGAUUCAGUUUUACAGUCUGGAAAAAAAAUGUCCUCUCUAUAUGAACAAUCAAUCUUCACCAUUGAUAUUUUUCAUCUUUGACUUGAAGUUACAAACUAACUUCAGCAGGAAUAUUUAUGAAUUAUUAUGGAUAAUCUAUUACACAGUGAAAACUGUAAUAUAUGUUUGCUACAUUUAUAUAUAAAAACAUCCUCAUGACUAAUGAAGCCUCCCUAGUACUUAGCUGAACAAAUUGACUCAAUAAAUAUGCUUAUGUCAAUUAUAAAAAGUGAAAGGAACAAAUCACUAAAGAAAACCUAUAUAUUGUUCUCCUCUUAAAAGAACAAAAUGGAGUGCUCUAACUAAAUAAAAUGUAACUUAAUACACUACUUUUGGAAUUACAUCUAAAGAUUAUUUUGUGUGCACUAAAUUUCAUAAAAAUUCUUAUAAUCGCAGACCAGCUCACAUAAUGAAUACUUCAUAAAAUAUAAAACAAAAAAAAUGUAAGAAACAAAAAAAGUAUGGGUCUAGCAUGAGUACCAGGCAAGUAUAUACAGAGAAUUUGCUUGGGAAGAUUCAGAACUCUAAGUCAUAGACUGUACAGUAAUAAAUUCAAUACAAACCAAAAAGUAUACAUUUGCUUUCAGCAUUUUUUAGGUUUUUAGUUUUAUAGUAGUCACCAUAUUAAAAUGAUUUUUGUUCCCGUAUCAUUCUUUCCUUCUGAAAAUAUGUACAAACUCAUACUCACACACACAUACUUAACUCCAUAAUUUUCUUACACCUAAGAUUUGUCUUUAGACUAACAUGUAUUUAACUCUAUAUGAAUCAAAACUAAAAGUCUGUAUAUGUUUGCAGGCAGACAGGCCACAUGUUCAAAGAAAAAUAUAUAGAAAAUUUGAAAAUAUAUUUUACUUUUUGAGAUGGAGUCUCGCUCUGUUGCCCAGGCUGGAGUGCAGUGGGGUGAUCUUGGCUCAUUGCAACCUCCACCUCCCAGGUUCAAGCGAUUCUCCUGCCUCAGCCUCCUGAGUAGCUGGGAUUACAGGCACAUGCCACCACGCCUGGCUAAUUUUUGUAUUUUUAGUAGAGACGGGAUUUCUCCAUAUUGGCCAUGCUGGUCUCGAACUGCUGACCUCAAGAUCCACUCCCUCGCUCAGCCUGUCAAAGUGCUGGGAUUACAGACGUGAGCCACCACACCUGGCAUGAGAAAAUAUUUAUUAAGAAUUUAGAAAUGAAUUUCAUUUAUACUCGUAUAUAAUUUUUAUUAUGAC
rnacentral:lncRNA from 10 species